ensembl:snRNA U1 U1 spliceosomal RNA
AUACUUACCUAGAUAGGGAAACACCGUGAUCAUGAAGGUGGUUUUUGCAGGGUGAGGCUCAUCCAUUGCACGCGGGGUGUGCUAAUAUCGGCAGGAAACCUGACUGCAUAAUUGGGGUGGUGAGGGUACUAUGCUUGCAUUCUCCCCUG